rnacentral:rRNA from 1 species
UACGUAGGGGGCAAGCGUUGUCCGGAUUUAUUGGGCGUAAAGAGCGUGUAGGCGGCCAGGUAGGUCCGUUGUGAAAACUCGAGGCUCAACCUCGAGACGCCGGUGGAAACCAUCAGGCUAGAGUCCGGAAGAGGAGAGUGGAAUUCCUGGUGUAGCGGUGAAAUGCGCAGAUAUCAGGAAGAACACCCGUGGCUAAGGCGGCUCUCUAGUACGGUACUGACGCUGAGACGCGAAAGCGUGGGGAGCGAACAGG